ensembl:lncRNA
GAAAAGCUCAGUUUUGCCCGCGCUGUUCUACUACAAGUAAGACUCAAGUAAGAUCCAAUGGGCAGACGCCGGGGAAUAAACGUCACCGAAGACGAGCGAGGGCGUGGGGCGUGAACACCGAGCGUUCCAAUCAGAAGAUCAGUGUUUCUAUUGGGACAAUGGGUGGCUCCGCCCCCACUGCAGACUUAUUGUCUGGGGGAGGAGGCUCCGGUGGUUCCAGAAGAGCCGGGAGAGACAAUCCAGGAGGCGUUCUACGGUUCAGCCUGCAAAGCAGCACCGACAGUGGCCUGCAACGCCAUGGUCAGAUGGCGACGGCAUCCCUGGAUCCAGGAGGGGUUUAGGGCUAAGGCCCCGAACGCUCCAAGGGGCGCGGCUCCUGCUUGGAACCAGCGGACAACUCCGGCUUCGGCCUCUGGCCCGCCCCAAAUGGAGGCGGGAUUCCUCGUUCCAGCACCUCAUGUGACUACGGAGAGCCGGUGGGUGGGCUCCAGUGGUGCCCUCUGGUGUCUCAGAAUCUGAGGACUUCCUAAGACCUGUUUUCCUGGGACCCCACCCCAAGGGGUCUUCUUUGCUGCGUUUCGCUCUGCUGGGAGAGUAACAGCUCCCUGCCGUCAGCAUCCCAUUAAGAAAGGAAAAGUCAUGGCCAGAAGUCACGGUGUCUGAUUUUCGAAGUGUGGAAUCCUAUGAGAAUCAUCUUGAGUAACAAAAUGAAAGGGACUGUUGAAAACCA